GGUCUGAGAGGAUGAUCAGCCACACUGGGACUGAGACACGGCCCAGACUCCUACGGGAGGCAGCAGUGGGGAAUAUUGGACAAUGGGCGAAAGCCUGAUCCAGCAAUGCCGCGUGAGUGAUGAAGGCCUUAGGGUUGUAAAGCUCUUUUACCCGGGAAGAUAAUGACUGUACCGGGAGAAUAAGCCCCGGCUAACUCCGUGCCAGCAGCCGCGGUAAUACGGAGGGGGCUAGCGUUGUUCGGAAUUACUGGGCGUAAAGCGCACGUAGGCGGCUUUGUAAGUCAGAGGUGAAAGCCUGGAGCUCAACUCCAGAACUGCCUUUGAGACUGCAUCGCUUGAAUCCAGGAGAGGUGA
rnacentral:rRNA from 3 species